AAGGUGCUGCGGGGUGCGUGAUAGUUUCAUAUUCCAGCGGCCGAUAAUCUUUCGCUCGGGAGCUGUCCCUGUAAGUAUUGAAGUGUUUUGCCGCCUCAGCUUAUACAUGGCGCCCACCUGUUUCACAGGGCCACAUGCGAAUUGAUCAUCUACACGGCUACCGUGGCACUUUA
rnacentral:other from 1 species